rnacentral:rRNA from 1 species
GAAAGUAAAGAAGGGCGCAUGGCGGAUGCCUUGGCUCUCGGAGGCGAUGAAGGACGUGAUAAGCUGCGAUAAGCUUUGGGGAGGUGCAAAUGACCUUUGAUCCAGAGAUUUCCGAAUGGGACAACCCAAUAUCUUGAAGAGGUAUUAUCCAACGUUGUUGGAGGCUAACGCAGGGAACUGAAACAUCUUAGUACCUGCAGGAAAAGAAAAUAAACAAUGAUUCCCCCAGUAGUGGCGAGCGAACGGGGAACAGCCCAAACCAUCCAUGUUACGGCAUGGGUGGGGUUGUAGGACUACGCCGUUGCAUGAAGACAUCAGAGAAGAACUUUCUGGAAAGAAAGACCAUAGAGCAUGACAGUUGCGUAUUCGAAUGUUGUCGAAGCAUAGUAGUAUCCUGAGUAGCGCGGAGCACGAGGAAUUCUGCGUGAAUCUGCCGGGACCAUCCGGUAAGGCUAAAUACUCCCGAGAGACCGAUAGCGAACCAGUACCGUGAGGGAAAGGUGAAAAGCACUUCGAACAGAAGAGUGAAAUAGUUCCUGAAACCGUGCGCCUACAAGCGGUCGGAGCUCGUUAAUGAGUGACGGCGUGCCUUUUGCAUAAUGAACCUACGAGUUGCCUUUGCCGGCAAGGUUAAGUGUGACGACACACGUAUCCGAAGCGAAAGCGAGUCUGAACAGGGCGUAUAGUCGGCAGUGGCAGACGCGAAACCAAGUGAUCUACCCUUGGCCAGGUUGAAGGCUGGGUAACACCAGCUGGAGGACCGCACCAAUAAGCGUUGAAAAGCUUCUGGAUGAGCUGAGGGUAGGGGUGAAAGGCUAAUCAAACUUGGAGAUAGCUCGUACUCCCCGAAAUGCAUUUAGGUGCAGCCUUGCGGGUUACUGAUGUGAGGUAGAGCGACUGAUAAGAUGCGAGGGCUUCACCGCCUAUCAAGUCUUGACAAACUCCGAAUGCGCAUCAGUUCUACCGCAGGAGUGAGGGCAUGGGUGCUAAGGUCCGUGCCCGAGAGGAGAAGAAUCCGGACCACCUGCUAAGGUCCCGAAAUGACAGCUAAGUUAAACUAACGAAGUCUGACUGCUAAGACAGCUAGGAUGUUGGCUUGGAAGCAGCCAUUCAUUUAAAGAGUGCGUAACAGCUCACUAGUCGAGGAGUCGGGCGUGGAUAAUAAUCGGGUAUGAAGUUGUCUACCGAAGCAGUGGGAUCAUUAAUAUGAUCGGUAGGGGAGCAUUCCAGUCAGCGUCGAAGGCGUACCGUGAGGUAUUCUGGAGCGUCUGGAAAAGCAAAUGUAGGUAUAAGUAACGAUAAAGGGGGCGGGAAACCCCCUCGCCGAAAGACUAAGGUUUCCUGAUCAACGCUAAUCGGAUCAGGGUCAGUCGGGUCCUAAGGCUCAGCCGAACGGCGAUGCCGAUGGCAGAAACGGUUAAUAUUCCGUUACUACCUUCAGGAGUGACGUGGAGACGCAGUAGUGACAGUGCCGCCAUCUGACGGAAUAGAUGGUUGAAGGGUGUAGGAGUCGAUCAUGGCAGGCAAAUCCACCAUGAGAUCCGAACCUGACAGUAUGCCGCGUCCUUCGGGACAAGGCAAUAGUGCGCGUAAGCAUGCUGCCGAGAAAAUCCGCUAAACUUAAUCCUGCAGGUACCCGUACCGCAAACGGACACACGUAGUCGGGAUGAAUAUUCUAAGGCGCUUGAGUGAUUCACGGUUAAGGAACUAGGCAAACUGACCCUGUAACUUCGGGAUAAAGGGUCCCUACCCUUUUAUGGGAGGGCGCAGAGAAUCGGUCCAGGCAACUGUUUAACAAAAACACAGGGCUGUGCCAAAUCGAAAGAUCCAGUAUACAGCCUGACACCUGCCCGGUGCUGGAAGGUUAAGAGGAGAUGUCAUCGAUAAGAGAAGCGUUGAAUUGAAGCCCCAGUAAACGGCGGCCGUAACUAUAACGGUCCUAAGGUAGCGAAAUUCCUUGUCGGGUAAGUUC